rnacentral:lncRNA from 1 species
GGCUCAUUUUCAAGACACAACGAAACACAAGUGUCACUUACACAUACAAACAUAAAAAGUGAAACAAAUUAUUACAAAUUAAUGUAUUCAUUUAAAUUUUUCUGAAUGUUAUUCACACCUUUUUCUAUAACUGGAUCAACAUAUGUUCUUUCAAUUACAUGUAUGACGCAAAUUUAUUUUGGAUCACACCAUUUUAAACCGAUAUCCUCUGAUUUGUCUGUCAGGUAUAUUUUCUAUAUAUUUAAACCAUUCCCAUGAAGCGCCAUUCCUUAUCAAUUAUACAUCAGUACCCUGCUUUCGGUUUUUAUUUGUCGUAAUACGUAUUUAGACUUGUCAUGUGACCACAAUUAAUUUAGAUUGUAGAGCUUAUAACUACAUUGUUGUACAUUUAUCAUUCUAUAAAAUUGUGAUCAAUAAAAUGUAAAUGGAGUCUGAAAGUUUAACGUGAUAAUAAUAUAU